rnacentral:rRNA from 1 species
AAGCGGAGGAAAAGAAACUAACAAGGAUUCCCCUAGUAGCGGCGAGUGAAGCGGGAAGAGCUCAAAUUUGAAAUCUGGCGUCCUUCGGGCGUCCGAGUUGUAAUCUAUAGAAGCGUUUUCCGCGCUGGACCGUGUCUAAGUCCCUUGGAACAGGGUAUCAAAGAGGGUGAUAAUCCCGUACUUGACACGACCACCAGUGCUCUGUGAUACGUUCUCUACGAGUCGAGUUGUUUGGGAAUGCAGCUCAAAAUGGGUGGUAAAUUCCAUCUAAAGCUAAAUAUUGGCGAGAGACCGAUAGCGAACAAGUACCGUGAGGGAAAGAUGAAAAGCACUUUGGAAAGAGAGUUAAACAGUACGUGAAAUUGUUGAAAGGGAAACGAUUGAAGUCAGUCGUGUUCAUUGGACUCAGCCAGUUCUUCUGGUCUAUUUCCUUUGAACGGGUCAACAUCAGUUUUGUCCGGUGGAUAAAGGUAUUAGGAAUGUGGCUCUUUCGGGAGUGUUAUAGCCUAGUAUUGCAUACACUGGGGGAGACUGAGGACUGCAGCUCGCCUUUUGGCCGGGGUCUGCCCAC